rnacentral:rRNA from 1 species
UACGUAGGGUGCGAGCGUUAAUCGGAAUUACUGGGCGUAAAGCGUGCGCAGGCGGCUUUGCAAGACAGAUGUGAAAUCCCCGGGCUUAACCUGGGAACUGCAUUUGUGACUGCAUGGCUGGAGUGCGGCAGUGGGGGAUGGAAUUCCGCGUGUAGCAGUGAAAUGCGUAGAUAUGCGGAGGAACACCGAUGGCGAAGGCAAUCCCCUGGGCCUGUACUGACGCUCAUGCACGAAAGCGUGGGGAGCAAACAGG